AGUUUGAUCAUGGCUCAGAUUGAACGCUGGCGGCAGGCCUAACACAUGCAAGUCGGACGGCAGCACGGGCUUCGGCCUGGUGGCGAGUGGCGGACGGGUGAGUAGCGCUUGGGAAUCUGCCUGGCAUUGGGGGAUAACUCGGGGAAACUCGAGCUAAUACCGCAUACGCCCUGAGGGGGAAAGCAGGGGACCUGCUUGCAGGCCUUGCGAUGCUGGAUGAGCCCAAGCCGGAUUAGCUGGUUGGUGGGGUAAAGGCCUACCAAGGCGACGAUCCGUAGCUGGUCUGAGAGGAUGAUCAGCCACACUGGGACUGAGACACGGCCCAGACUCCUACGGGAGGCAGCAGUGGGGAAUAUUGGACAAUGGGGGCAACCCUGAUCCAGCCAUGCCGCGUGUGUGAAGAAGGUCUUAGGAUUGUAAAGCACUUUAAGUCAGGAGGAAGUGCCGCUGGCGAAUACCUGGCGACAUUGACGUUACUGACAGAAUAAGCACCGGCUAACUUCGUGCCAGCAGCCGCGGUAAUACGAAGGGUGCGAGCGUUAAUCGGAAUUACUGGGCGUAAAGCGCGCGCAGGCGGUUCGAUAAGAAGGAUGUGAAAUCCCCGGGCUCAACCUGGGCACUGCAUUUUUAACUGUCGGGCUAGAGUACGGUAGAGGGUGGUGGAAUUUCCCGUGUA
rnacentral:rRNA from 1 species